rnacentral:rRNA from 1 species
GACGAACGCUGGCGGCGUGCUUAACACAUGCAAGUCGAGCGGUAAGGCCCUUUUGGGGGUACACGAGCGGCGAACGGGUGAGUAACACGUGGGUGACCUGCCCUCAGCUCUGGGAUAAGCCUGGGAAACUGGGUCUAAUACUGGAUAUGACCUUUCCUCGCAUGGGGGUUGGGUGGAAAGUUUUUCGGCUGGGGAUGGGCCCGCGGCCUAUCAGCUUGUUGGUGGGGUGAUGGCCUACCAAGGCGACGACGGGUAGCCGGCCUGAGAGGGCGACCGGCCACACUGGGACUGAGACACGGCCCAGACUCCUAGGGAGGCAGCAGUGGGGAAUAUUGCGCAAUGGGCGGAAGCCUGACGCAGCGACGCCGC